rnacentral:lncRNA from 1 species
UUUAUGCUGACCUAAUGUUGAGCCAAAGGAUAAGAUAACUUAAACGUUGUCCUUACAUUGGUUCUACCAAACGACCUAUGUCUUGGGUCUUUGGUCUUGAACUUCUUUGGCUCGUUCAUGCAAUUCCAUCAUCAGUAUGCUUCUCUCCAUUUGAUUAUAUCGUUGUUUGACACUUGACUUCAUUGUUUGUCAUUCAUCAAAACCUAUACCUGAAAAUCAUGCUCAUACAACCAAAGCGCACAUAUCAAAGGUAUACAUGAUUUCCAACA